GAUCAUGGCUCAGGAUGAACGCUAGCGGCAGGCUUAACACAUGCAAGUCGAGGGGCAGCGGGGAGUAGCAAUACUCCGCCGGCGACCGGCGCACGGGUGCGUAACGCGUAUGCAACCUACCUUUAACAGGGGCAUAACACUGAGAAAUUGGUACUAAUACCCCAUAAUAUCAUAGAAGGCAUCUUUUAUGGUUGAAAAUUCCGAUGGUUAGAGAUGGGCAUGCGUUGUAUUAG
rnacentral:rRNA from 1 species